rnacentral:lncRNA from 1 species
AAUUUAUAUUUCCUUUUCCAUCCAUCAUGACGUUUCUUUCUUUUCUUUUCUUUUCUUUUCUUUUCUUUUCGGGCUGCAGGUGAGGCAUACGGAAGUUCUCAGGCUAGGCGUCGAAUCGGAGGUGUAGCUACUGACCUACACCACAGCUCACAGCAAAGCCAGAUCCUUAACCCACUGAGCGAGGCCAGGGAUCGAACCUGCGUCCUCAUGGAUACUACUCAGGUUCGUUACUGCUGAGCCACAACAGGAGUUCCUGAUGUUUCACUCUUUGCACUUUUGAACCUGCUGAUUGAGUUGCCAGUCUUUCAUCUUUCACUUUUUUCCCCCGUAAUAAAUUCUGUUUAUUCUUCUUUCCGUCUUUGAUCAAAAGACUUUCUAGUUGCUCUCCCGCCUCCUAUGCUGCCUGCCGACAGGACCUGGUGUGGACUGGGCAUCUGAUGAGACGCUGUUGGCAAAACAUUGAAUUAUAUGGGAAUUCAGCCAGGUUAAGCUGAUGAGCCUGGAGAAAGAGAGACCAUGGCAGCAAAUAACUAAAAGUUAUAGCAGACCCCCAAACACCUCUAUCCUCCUGGGCGAAUUGAAGAUGAGAAAUGAAAUAUCUCCUAAAAUAGCUGAGACCAUAAGAUGUUAGCUAUGGACAUAUUUAAGAAGAGUGAAGACUAUUUAAGACUGUAGGAUGAUUUUGCACAUUUGCCAUUUCAACCUCAACACCUCCUUGACUGCUAAUUCUCUUCCCUGCCUUUCAAGCUAGCGCCACCCCCUUGCUCAGCCAAGAGCCUCCCUUCUGUGUGCUGUGACAUCAGCCCAGCUGUGUCUUAAAAGACGGUCACCCUAAAGGGAAGCGAUGUGGAGAAGGUACCUUCAUCCCUGGGGGGACGGGAGGCACUUCAGGCUUGGACGCGCCACGUCUGGAUUUCCGUGAUCACAAAGACAGACGUAGAUGCAACCAAGGACAAAGCCGUGUUUGUUCAGACCCACGUUUUCGCUGCGUCUCCUGGAAAAAGCUGACUUUCCUGCAGCACAGCUGGAACCGGGUUGGACCCGGGGACUCAGGUCAACGCCGACAGGUGCGACCAGGAAGAGGUUUCAACUCCACUC